ensembl:lncRNA
UAAGUCCUGCUUCUUGUGGGUCAGCCCCCACUUUUCUAAUUCCCAUUUCGCCCCUUCCCUGGCUUCAUCUAUAAAAAGCAUUCAAUCAUCUCCACUGCUCUGAUGGCCUACAUUCAGAAUGCGCUACAUGAUUCACAGCCCCCAGGGUUCCACCUUUUAUAAUGGCAAGUACUUCUCCUUUUCCUUUGGAUACGAUUGUCUCUGGGCUAAAUUACUUUUCCUUCACGUACAAAUGAUUUAAGCAUAGAUUUUCUAUAUCUUAAAAACUCGUUUAUCUGAUGGACUCCUUUUCCAAUUGUUAAAGCAACUCCCGAAUAGCCAAACUCAACGGAGGAAAAAUACAUACAUAUAUUUUUUGGAGGACAGCAUAUGCAAGUAGGUUUCUAACGCUCUAGGACUGCAAUGUUUUAAAUUCCUUGCCUUUCCUAAAAAUUAAACAUGUUUUAACUCAUCUUAGUGGCAUAUCGUGUCCUUCCAAAGGUUUUAAGGUAUAGUUUCAUUUCAUUACUUUUCAGAUCUGAAAGACAAACGUUUGCUUUGUGUUUUAUUUGAGUUCCUUAUUUGAUAGACUCACAAGGACGCCAUUGUUCGAAUUUGCAUGCUUCAUAAAAAUACGUAUUUAAGCAAAUGACACUUACAGAGCUCAGCCUUGGCAGCUGCAUCUCAAGAAUGACCACACUAACGACAGGUUAUGAAAAGGUUACAGUGGAGACAGAGAACUGCCUCUCAGGAAAGUCUGUGAUGGGAAAAACUUGUCCAACAUAACCCUGCUUCCCAAACUCCACACUUUUUGCUUAAAUGAAAGUUUACAAGAUCAUUAAGCAUAAUUUUUAUUUUUGGAUGAAUCUUGUUUGAAAGGGAACGUAUGCAUUGACUGGUCAAAUAUUCACGCAGCAGCAACCCCACCCGUCUCAGCACUACAGGUGCAGCGGAUGCUGACUGCAAGAGGCAUGAGAUUCCCUUGGUAAAGGAGGCGGACCCGUGCAGCCUGACCUUGAGCUCGCUACCCUUUUAAGCACCGCCUGCUGCCCACCGGAGGACCUGUUUCUCACCAAACUGCCCUUACCUCCGAGUCAAUACCUAGCCAUCUGCUUCCCUGAGUGCCCAGACACCCCCUGGACCUCCAUGAAAGGGACAGAGCAAUUCAUCACCAUUCACCCCUACCCUGGGGACAGAUGGGUUUGGUGUCCAGAUGGUCAAAUUUUGAAACAUCCAUCUGCACAAGAGCCAUUUUAAUCUCUGUGAUAAACAAACAAACAAACAAAAUUUAACCAAAUCCCAGGAAAUGGGGCCCGGGUGUGCCUUUCCUGCCUGUCUAUAGCAGAAAAUACAUCAACCUUGCAGAAAGUGACGGGCUGACCUAAAGAAUAAGAGCAGCAAAGUGAAGAAUGGAGGCGGUGAAAAACCAGACCGGCCUCGGCUCUGCAGCCACUUCCAGCGGACCUGGCAUGUCUAAGGCGCUUCUCACUUAAAGAAGCAAAUAAUGAUGCUUUUUCUGUCUGUGAAAACGAGGACAUCCUGCCGUUCCGGCUUCCUUGAUGUGGCAUUUGAUUUUGUUAAAAAAAUGAAUGUACCACAUUAUUUCGUAUAAAAGAAAAUAAGGAUGAUGGUAGACAAGACAUAUUUAUAAAGAUGUUCUCACUACCAGACACCUAGAAAUUUUAUAAAAAAAUACAUAACAACUACCCCCAUUUAGAGGCACAGUUGAGCUCAUAAAAAGUAAGGGAAAUCCUUAGCGGAAAACAGAGGGGCUCCUACACCAGAGGAAAAGCAUUACAUGUAGGGCCGAGCUCAGCACGGGCUAACCUCGGAUACCCAGAGGCUGGCUUGGGGAGUCCUCUGCAAGCCAGGAAGAGCCAUCCCAGGCUGUACCAGGUAGAAAGAGAAGCCAGGGACUCUCAGAGUGCUACUUGUUCAGGGAAGGAGUAGACAGGAAAAACCAGUUAUCCCCAAAGACUGAGGACCACAUGAAGCAGGCAUGCUGGAUUCAGCAUAAUAGCAGGUGCGUGCUUUCCUGGAUUUAUCAUUAAAUUCACCCUACCUGUGUGGUCCAGGAACCUCCCGACAACCCCCCUCCCAAGCCGAAAAAGAAAAAGAAAGUAGCCCUGAGUUGGAAGGGCCUGGGCCUCUGGCGGAGCCAAUGCAAAUCUUCAAAGGGAUUUGCAGAGGGUUCCACAGAUAAACAGCCUGAAUAUACAAAACGGCUCACAGACGCAGCCGGGUCCAAAUGAAACAAAGGUGCAUUGUCUUUUUUUCCAGGAUAUGACCUGCUUUGCCAGCUGAGUUAAUGUUGCCUUAAAUACAGAGGGGAAAGAAAAUUCUAAACAAUCCCCUGGAACCUAAGUGGUAAGGAUGGAGUAAGACCACUGAGUGCUCAGGAGAGAAUGGAGACCAGGCAGGGCUGCUGCUGCUUUGCAAUUAGGAUCCAGAGAUGGGAAGCCUGAGAGCAUUACUGACGUCCUGGGGAAGCUGCAAGAAUGUCCAGCAGCUGCUCUGUGGAAACUGUAAAGAUUGGGAGGCAGUGGCUGACCUAACGGCAGAACCACGCCUAUCAUAAAGGCACCUUUACAGCAAGUCAUUUGAAUAAGUGCAGACAAAACUGGCAGCUACUUUUAAUUGCUAUUUAAGUGCAUUUUGUCCUAGCCACAGUGUCUGGUGCUCAGGGGGCUGUUUCAAGCUGAUGCUGUUACUAUGUUUCUAGCUCAUAGAGGGGGAGUGGCCAACGUUAGACGGUGUCUAGUUGGUAGCCAGCCAGAGCAGACAAGCCCAGGUCUUGGCGGCAGAACCGAGGGCCACCCUCUAGGACACAGCCCUCGAGUCCAGGAUGACAGACCCCUGCCCUGCAAGCACGGGACGCAGGAAGGAAACGCCGGCAGAAAGGGCCAAGCGCAGAGGCGAGGGGGGAUGAAAGCAGGCGCAGAUGCCUCUCACCCCAAGCCAUGGGCACAGGUGGACGAGGGGCAAUCCACCCAGACACGAAGAGGGGUGUCGUGGGGUCUGGGAAAGGCAGCAGGGCGCUCACAAAAUGCAGGUCGGAAUAUCUGCUUGCUCCAGAAAAAGGGCCUCAUCUCUUACUUAGUGAUACACUGAGGAUUCUGGUGAAGAAACUAGUAGUUUGGGCGGCUUCUUAGAGCAAGUCACUAUACAUGACACAGAACUCAAUGUUUUCCAAUCGUUUAGUAAAAAUUCUGCAUCUUUGUAAAUAAGAACUUGAAUAAAUCUAAAAAACACUUUAAUGAAAGAAUGCGCGCUAAAAAAGUUUUCUUUUUUUUUUUUUUUUUUUUUUUUUUUUUUUUUUUGUCUUUUUAGGGCCACACUCGAAGCAUAUGGAAGUUCCCAGGGUAGAGGUGGAAUCAGAGCUGCAGCUGCUGGCCUAU